GGGGGAAUAUUAGGCAAUGGGGGGAAACCCUGACCUAGCAACGCCGCGUGAAGGAUGAAGGUUUUCGGAUUGUAAACUUCUUUGGCAGGGGACGAUAAUGACGGUACCCUGAGAACAAGCCACGGCUAACUACGUUGCCAGCAGCCGCGGUAAUACGUAGGUGGCAAGCGUUGUCCGGAUUUACUGGGUGUAAAGGGCGUGUAGCCGGGUCUGCAAGUCAGAUGUGAAAUCCAUGGGCUUAACCCAUGAACUGCAUUUGAAACUGUGGAUCUUGAGUGCUGGAGGGGCAAUCGGAAUUCCUAGUGUAGCGGUGAAAUGCGUAGAUAUUAGGAGGAACACCAGUGGCGAAGGCGGAUUGCUGGACAGUAACUGACGGUGAGGCGCGAAAGCGUGGGGAGCAAAC
rnacentral:rRNA from 1 species